rnacentral:rRNA from 1 species
GCAAGAUACCACGGGCGCACGGCGGAUGCCUUGGCACAGGGAGCCGAUGAAGGACGCGGCAAGCUGCGAUAAUCCCCGGCGAGGAGCACACAUCCUUCGACCCGGGGGUCUCCGAAUGGGCGAACCCAUCCGUAGCAGUACGGAUAUCCCGAUCCUGAACACAUAGGGGCCGGGAGGACAACCCGGGGAACUGAAACAUCUAAGUACCCGGAGGAGAGGAAAUCAAUCUCGAGACUCCCCGAGUAGCGGCGAGCGAAAGGGGACCGAUGGCCAAACCGUCGAGCGGGCAUACCCGGCAGGGGUUCCGCCGACGGGGUUGCAGGGCCGCGCAUCCGGGGGCUGCCGCCCCCGGGCGCAGGUCCGGCUGGGGAGCGGAACGGCAUGGGAGGGCCGGCCGCAGCGGGUGACAGCCCCGUACGCGAACCCAGACCGGACGGCGCGACGCGGUCCCUGAGUAGGGCCGGGCACGUGAAACCCGGUCCGAACCUGGGUGGACCACCAUCCAAGCCUGAGUACUACCCUGUGACCGAUAGCGCACCAGUACCGUGAGGGAAAGGUGAAAAGCACCCCGGGAGGGGAGUGAAACAGUACCUGAAACCGUGCGCCCACGAGCAGUCGGAGCACCUAUACGGUGUGACGGCGUGCCUUUUGUAGAAUGAGCCAGCGAGUCGCUGGCGCGGGGCGAGGUUAACCGAAAGGGAGCCGGAGCGAAAGCGAGCCUUAACAGGGCGACUUGAGUCCCGCGCCGCGGACGCGAAGCCGGGUGAGCUAUCCGUGGGCAGGCUGAAGCGGGGGUAAGACCCCGUGGAGGGCCGAACGCACGUCGGUUGAAAACGGCGGCGAUGACCUGCGGAUAGGGGUGAAAGGCCAAUCAAACCCGGAGAUAUCUCGUUCUCCCCGAAAUAGCUUUAGGGCUAGCGUCGCGCGUUCACCGCCGGAGGUAGAGCACCGGAUGGACGAGGGGGCUUCGCCGCCUACCGAAUCCAACCGAACUCCGAAUGCCGGCGGCCCAGAGCGCGGCAGUCAGAGCAUGUGGGCUAAGCUGUGUGCUCGAGAGGGAAACAGCCCGGACCGCCCGCUAAGGUCCCCAAGUUCCAGCCGAGUGGCAAAGGAUGUGCGUCCGCCCAGACAACCAGGAUGUUGGCUUAGAAGCAGCCAUGCAUUCAAAGAGUGCGUAACAGCUCACUGGUCGAGUGGACAUGCGCCGACAAUACACGGGGCUAAGCUGGACACCGAAGCGGCGGGAUUUUGAUUUUCAGAAUCGGUAGGGGAGCUUCCCAUGGGCGGCGAAGCCGCCGGGCGACCGGCGGUGGAGCGCAUGGGAGUGAGAAUGCUGGCAUGAGUAGCGAGAGACGAGAGAGUAACUCGUCCGCCGUGAACCCGAGGUUUCCUGGGCAAGGCUAAUCCUCCCAGGGUCAGUCGGGGGCUAAGGCGAGGCCGGAAGGCGUAGCCGACGCGCAGCAGGCAGACAUUCCUGCACCGCGCACGCGGCGCUACGACCGACGGGGCGACGGAUGGGGGUGGCUCGGCGGGGUUCUGGACGUCCCCGUGAUGGAGCGCGGCCCGCGGACCAGGGAAAUCCGGUCCGCACGAGGGCGAGGCUCCGGACGAAGCGAUCAAGCGAAGCGAGUGAGCCCGAGGUCCCUAGAAAAACCCCUAGGCAGGCGCGUGCGCGCCCGUACCGCAAACCGACACAGGUGGGUGGGUAGAACAUACCGAGGCGAUCGGGUCAACCAUGGUCAAGGAACUCGGCACAAUGGCCCCGUAACUUCGGGAGAAGGGGUGCCCGCGCGUACGUGAACGGACUUGCUCCGGGAGCGGAGGCGGGCCGCAGUGGAGAGGCCCAAGCGACUGUUUACCAAAAACACAGGACUCUGCAGAAGCCGCAAGGCGACGUAUAGGGUCUGACGCCUGCCCGGUGCCGGAAGGUCACGCGGAGGAGUUAGCCGCAAGGCGAAGCCCCGAAGCCAAGCCCCGGUAAACGGCGGCCGUAACUAUAACGGUCCUAAGGUAGCGAAAUUCCUUGUCGGGUAAGUUCCGACCUGCACGAAAGGCGCAACGACUUGGGCGCUGUCUCGACCAUGGACCCGGUGAAAUUGCACUGGUCGUGAAGAUGCGACUUACCCGCGGAAGGACGGAAAGACCCCGUGAACCUUCACUGCAGCUUGGCAUUGGCCGCUGGUCCCGCGUGUAGAGGAUAGGCAGGAGGCGAAGAUCCGGAGGCGCCAGCCCCCGGGGAGCCGCCCUUGGAAUACUGCCCUCGCGCGACCGGCGUCCUAACCCGAGGCCGUCAACCGGCUCGGGGACCGUGCCAGGCGGGCAGUUUGACUGGGGCGGUCGCCUCCUAAAGGGUAACGGAGGCGCGCGAAGGUCCGCUCGGGACGGUCGGCAACCGUCCUUUUGAAUGCAAGAGUACAAGCGGGCUUGACUGCGAGGCCCACAAGCCGAGCAGGUGCGAAAGCAGGCUCUAGUGAUCCGGCGGCCCCGAGUGGGUGGGCCGUCGCUCAACGGAUAAAAGGUACUCCGGGGAUAACAGGCUGAUCUUGCCCAAGAGUCCACAUCGACGGCAAGGUUUGGCACCUCGAUGUCGGCUCAUCGCAUCCUGGGGCUGAAGUCGGUCCCAAGGGUUGGGCUGUUCGCCCAUUAAAGCGGUACGCGAGCUGGGUUCAGAACGUCGUGAGACAGUUCGGUCCCUAUCCUCCGUGGGCGCAGGAGAAUCGAUGGAGGCUGCCCCCAGUACGAGAGGACCGGGGUGGACGCACCUCCGGUGAACCGGUUGUCGACCAACGGCACGGCCGGGUAGCCGCGUGCGGCGCGGAUAACCGCUGAAGGCAUCUAAGCGGGAAGCCGUUCCAGGGAUUAGUUCUCCUUCCGGUAAGGGCCCAGGUAGACUACCUGGUCGAUAGACGGCAGGUGCAAGGACGGCGACGUCCUCAGCCGAGCCGCACUAAUCGCCCGAGCUCUUCCGGAA